UCCAAAUAAACAACUAGAGAGCUGGUGAGCUAAAUGAUCUACAUUUUCAAACAAGAAAAAUCAGGCAUCAGGACAACAAGCUAAACUUCAACUAAACACUUGAAGAGCCAAAUCACCCACCUUUUUAGGUGAGCAAAUAAGACAUUAAGAUUGGAAGCUGAAAUACACAAUGACUACAAAGUCCGCAUGACCCAUCGAUCAGAAUUCGACUAUGAACACAAGACAAAGGUCCGAAUUGACCAUAGAUGCACCCUAGAAAAUCUAUUCAAAGGCUCCAAUCUUACCACGUUCUAAAUUGGGACCC
rnacentral:lncRNA from 1 species